GAGAGCUAGUGUAGAUAGCUGGAAAGAUAUAAAGCAAUAGCCCUGAUUGAGUGCUUAGCUAAAUUAUAUCAAAUUUGAGGUGUCUGCUUCUUCCACUUUUAUAUUCUGCCACUCCACUUCUGCCAUUCUCAAUUUUCAUCCACUCAUUAUCAUAAUUAUUGACCCUAUCUACUCUUUUUUCCUGCCUCUCCAAUUAAUU
rnacentral:lncRNA from 1 species